AUGAAGAACGCAGCGAAAUGCGAUACGUAAUGUGAAUUGCAAAUUCAGUGAAUCAUCGAGUCUUUGAACGCACAUUGCGCCCCCUGGUAUUCCGGGGGGCAUGCCUGUCCGAGCGUCAUUGCUGCCCUCAAGCACGGCUUGUGUGUUGGGCCCCGUCCUCCGAUCCCGGGGGACGGGCCCGAAAAGCAGCGGCGGCACCGCGUCCGGUCCUCGAGCGUAUGGGGCUUUGUCACCCGCUCUGUAGGCCCGGCCGGCGCUUGCCGAUCAACCCAAAUUUUUAUCCAGGUUGACCUCGGAUCAGGUAGGGAUACCCGCUGAACUUAAGCAUAUCAAUAAGCGGAGGA
rnacentral:misc_RNA from 1 species